rnacentral:rRNA from 1 species
AUACGGAGGGGGCUAGCGUUGUUCGGAAUUACUGGGCGUAAAGCGCGCGUAGGCGGGUUGGCAAGUUGAAGGUGAAAUCCCAGGGCUCAACCCUGGAACUGCCUUCAAUACUGCCAGUCUAGAGUUCGAGAGAGGUGAGUGGAAUUCCUAGUGUAGAGGUGAAAUUCGUAGAUAUUAGGAAGAACACCAGUGGCGAAGGCGGCUCACUGGCUCGAUACUGACGCUGAGGUGCGAAAGCGUGGGGAGCAAACAGGAUUAGAUACCCCGGUAGUCC